UUAAAUUGAAGAGUUUGAUCAUGGCUCAGAUUGAACGCUGGCGGCAGGCCUAACACAUGCAAGUCGAGCGGAAACGAGUUAUCUGAACCUUCGGGGAACGAUAACGGCG
rnacentral:rRNA from 2 species